rnacentral:rRNA from 1 species
GCAGAAUUCAGUGAAUCAUCGAAUCUUUGAACGCACAUUGCGCCCGCCAGUAUUCUGGCGGGCAUGCCUGUUCGAGCGUCAUUUCAACCCUCAAG